AAAGUGUAUGUCAUUAUUGCUGCGGUUAAAAAGCUCGUAGUUGGAUCUGAGCCUUUGGCGACAGUUCGUUUUCAUGCGAUACUGUGGCCGGGGUUAAUUUUGUCGGUUCGCCGGCAAGAGUUACUCUGAAUAAAUCAGAGUGCUCAAAACAAGCGUUUCGCUUGAAUGUUUUUGCAUGGAAUAAUGGAAAAGGACUUCGGUUCCUUACUGUUGGUUUCGGAAUUGGAUUAAUGAUUAAGAGGGACCAACGGGGGCAUGCGUACCGCUACGCGAGAGGUGAAAUUCAUGGACCGUAGCGUGACGAC
rnacentral:rRNA from 1 species